rnacentral:rRNA from 1 species
UACAGAGGUCCCAAGCGUUGUUCGGAUUCAUUGGGCGUAAAGGGUGCGUAGGCGGCGCGGUAAGUCGGGUGUGAAAUCUCGGGGCUUAACUCCGAAACUGCAUUCGAUACUGCCGUGCUUGAGGACUGGAGAGGAGACUGGAAUUUACGGUGUAGCGGUGAAAUGCGUAGAUAUCGGGAGGAACACCGGUGGCGAAGGCGGGUCUCUGGGCCGAUACUGACGCUGAGGAGCGAAAGCGUGGGGAGCGAACAGG